GUAGGUGGCAAGCGUUGUCCGGAAUUAUUGGGCGUAAAGCGCGCGCAGGCGGUCCUUUAAGUCUGAUGUGAAAGCCCACGGCUCAACCGUGGAGGGUCAUUGGAAACUGGGGGACUUGAGUACAGAAGAGGAAAGCGGAAUUCCAAGUGUAGCGGUGAAAUGCGUAGAGAUUUGGAGGAACACCAGUGGCGAAGGCGGCUUUCUGGUCUGUAACUGACGCUGAGGCGCGAAAGCGUGGGGAGCAAACAGGAUUAGAUACCCUGGUAGUCCACGCCGUAAACGAUGAGUGCUAAGUGUUAGGGGGUUUCCGCCCCUUAGUGCCGCAGCUAACGCAUUAAGCACUCCGCCUGGGGAGUACGGCCGCAAGGCUG
rnacentral:rRNA from 1 species